AGGAUGAACGCUGGCGGUCUGCUUAACACAUGCAAGUCGAACGGAGUAGCAAUACUUAGUGGCGGACGGGUGAGUAACGCGUGAGAAUCUACCUUCAGGACGGAGACAACAGUUGGAAACGACUGCUAACCCCCGAUGUACUGAGAAGGCAAAUAUUUAUAGCCUGAAGAAGAGCUCGCGUCCGAUUAGCUAGUUGGAGAGGUAAAAAGCUCACCAAGGCGACGAUCGGUAGCUGGUCUGAGAGGACGAUCAGCCACACUGGGACUGAGACACGGCCCAGACUCCUACGGGAGGCAGCAGUGGGGAAUUUUCCGCAAUGGGCGAAAGCCUGACGGAGCAAGACCGCGUGGGGGAAGAAGGCUCUUGGGUUGUAAAACCCCCUUUUCUCUGGGAAGAACACAAUGACGGUACCAGAGGAAUCAGCAUCGGCUAACUCGUGCCAGCAGCCGC
rnacentral:rRNA from 1 species